UACGGAGGGUGCAAGCGUUAUCCGGAUUCACUGGGUUUAAAGGGUGCGUAGGUGGGCAGGUAAGUCAGUGGUGAAAUCCCCGAGCUUAACUUGGGAACUGCCAUUGAUACUAUUUGUCUUGAAUACUGUGGAGGUUAGCGGAAUAUGUCAUGUAGCGGUGAAAUGCUUAGAUAUGACAUAGAACACCAAUUGCGAAGGCAGCUGGCUACACAACUAUUGACGCUGAGGCACGAAAGCGUGGGGAGCAAACAGG
rnacentral:rRNA from 1 species